CCGACGCCACUCCUUGCCACUGCCGCUGCACACUUUGCCCCAGUGCCGAACCGACCCUUUCUUCUGCCCUAGCCGAGCCUCACAUUGGCGUGAGUUGCUGCCCUGGAUUCUACCGAGCUUUGGCUUUAGGGUCAGUGGCUCACUCUAGCUACGACCACGGUUCCAGAAACAGGUGUUCCAUCGACAAAUUAACGACGAAGAAUACGAAUUUGGGACUUUGACGCGAGACGAGUAUCUUGACGUCGGAC